rnacentral:rRNA from 1 species
GACGAACGCUGGCGGCGUGCUUAACACAUGCAAGUCGAACGGAAAGGCCUUUUCGGAGGUACUCGAGUGGCGAACGGGUGAGUAACACGUGGGUGAUCUGCCCUGCACUCUGGGAUAAGCCUGGAAAACUGGGUCUAAUACCGGAUAGGACCGCACUUUAGUGUGUGUGGUGGAAAGUUUUUUCGGUGUAGGAUGAGCCCGCGGCCUAUCAGCUUGUUGGUGGGGUAAUGGCCUACCAAGGCGGCGACGGGUAGCCGGACUGAGAGGUUGGUCGGCCACAUUGGGACUGAGAUACGGCCCAGACUCCUACGGGAGGCAGCAGUGGGGAAUAUUGCACAAUGGGCGCAAGCCUGAUGCAGCGACGCCGCGUGGGGGAUGACGGCCUUCGGGUUGUAAACUCCUUUCGCCAGGGACGAAGCGUUUUGUGACGGUACCUGGAGAAGAAGCACCGGCUAACUACGUG